AAAAAUAAAAUAUUAUUGAUUUAAUUAAGGUUAAGAAAAAAAGAGAUUAAUUAUAGUUGAUUAGUAUAGAGAUAUAACUUUGAAAUAAGUAAGGUAAAAUAGUUGAAAGAAAAUUUAAAUGUUGUACCUUGUGUAUCAGGGUUUAUUAAAUAAAGGCUUAAGAUUGAGUUUUCCCGAAUUGAAAAGAGCUAAAAAAUUAGUGAUUUUAUUGUGUCAUAAAUAUUUAUAAUAAUUUUUUAGAAAUGAAACGUUAUUCGUUUUUUAAUAUAUCUGGUUUUUAAAGAAAAAAAUUUAAUUUUAAAUGCUUUUUAAAACUUUAUAAAUUUUAAUGUACAGUUUUAAUGGUAAUUUAUAUCUUAAGGGAUAAGCUUUAAGAUAAAUGAUUAUAAUUUUAAUCAUUAUUUAAAUAAGUAGGAUUAGAAAUUUUCAUCAAAUAGUUUGUUAUAAUUAAUUUGUUUAUAAAUAUGAUUUUUAUUAGUUUAGUUUUUUUAUUUAAAUAAAUUAAUUAAUUUAAGGUUAGUUGUAAUAAUGAUAAAAUUAGUAUAAUUUUUAUAAGAAUAAUUAAGAUUUUUAGGUGAAUUAAAGGAAUUCGGCAAAAGAUUUCUCGCCUGUUUAUUAAAAACAUGUCUUUUUGAAUUUAAUUUAAAGUCUAACCUGCCCACUGAAAAUUUAAAGGCCGCGGUAUUUUGACCGUGCAAAGGUAGCAUAAUAAUUAGUUUUUUAAUUGAAAGCUGGAAUGAAUGGUUGAACGAGGAAAUAACUGUCUCUAAUUUAAUUUUUUAGAAUUUUAUUUUUUAGUCAAAAAGCUAAAAUAAAUUUAAAAGACGAGAAGACCCUAUAGAGUUUUAUUUUAGUUUAGAUUUAUGUAUAUUUUAGAAUUAUUUAUAUUAAAUAUAAAUUAAUAUUUUGUUGGGGCGAUAGAAAAAUUUAAAUAACUUUUUUUUUCAUUAACAUUAAUUUAUGAUUAAUUGAUCCAUUAUUUAUGAUUAUAAGAUUAAAUUACCUUAGGGAUAACAGCGUAAUUUCUUUAAAGAGUUCUUAUCGAAAAAGAAGAUUGCGACCUCGAUGUUGGAUUAAAAUAAAUGUUUGGUGUAGGGGCUAAACUAUUGGGUCUGUUCGACCUUUAAAAUUUUACAUGAUCUGAGUUUAAACCGGCGUGAGCCAGGUUGGUUUCUAUCUUUAAAAUAAUUUAAUAUUUUAGUACGAAAGGACCUAAUAUUAAUUAAUUUAAUUUAAUAUUGAAUAAUAUU
rnacentral:rRNA from 1 species